rnacentral:rRNA from 1 species
GACGAACGCUGGCGGCGUGCUUAACACAUGCAAGUCGAACGGAAAGGCCCUGCUUUUGUGGGGGGCUCGAGUGGCGAACGGGUGAGUAACACGUGAGUAACCUGCCCUUGACUUUGGGAUAACUUCAGGAAACUGGGGCUAAUACCGGAUAGGAGCUCCUGCUGCAUGGUGGGGGGUUGAAAGUUGCGGCGGGUGGGGAUGGACUGGCGGGUUAUCAGCUUGUUGGUGGGGUAGUGGCUUACCAAGGCUUUGACGGGUAGCCGGCCUGAGAGGGUGACCGGCCACAUUGGGACUGAGAUACGGACCAGACUCCUACGGGAGGCAGCAGUGGGGAAUAUUGCACAAUGGGCGGAAGCCUGAUGCAGCAACGCCGCGUGCGGGAUGACGGCCUUCGGGUUGUAAACCGCUUUCGCCUGUGACGAAGCGUGAGUGACGGUAAUGGGUAAAGAAGCACCGGCUAACUACGUG